rnacentral:rRNA from 1 species
GUCGAGCGGAUGAGAAGAGCUUGCUCUUCGAUUCAGCGGCGGACGGGUGAGUAAUGCCUAGGAAUCUGCCUGGUAGUGGGGGACAACGUUUCGAAAGGAACGCUAAUACCGCAUACGUCCUACGGGAGAAAGCAGGGGACCUUCGGGCCUUGCGCUAUCAGAUGAGCCUAGGUCGGAUUAGCUAGUUGGUGAGGUAAUGGCUCACCAAGGCGACGAUCCGUAACUGGUCUGAGAGGAUGAUCAGUCACACUGGAACUGAGACACGGUCCAGACUCCUACGGGAGGCAGCAGUGGGGAAUAUUGGACAAUGGGCGAAAGCCUGAUCCAGCCAUGCCGCGUGUGUGAAGAAGGUCUUCGGAUUGUAAAGCACUUUAAGUUGGGAGGAAGGGCAUUAACCUAAUACGUUAGUGUUUUGACGUUACCGACAGAAUAAGCACCGGCUAACUCUGUGCCAGCAGCCGCGGUAAUACAGAGGGUGCAAGCGUUAAUCGGAAUUACUGGGCGUAAAGCGCGCGUAGGUGGUUUGUUAAGUUGGAUGUGAAAGCCCCGGGCUCAACCUGGGAACUGCAUCCAAAACUGGCAAGCUAGAGUACGGUAGAGGGUGGUGGAAUUUCCUGUGUAGCGGUGAAAUGCGUAGAUAUAGGAAGGAACACCAGUGGCGAAG